UGCGCGGGAGAAUGUCCCUGGACAGGGCGUGACGCUAAACCUAGGUCGCACGAGGCCUCUCAGAGAUUCCUCCCACCACAAAGCCCCAUCACAGUACAGAAGGCUUUUUGCAAAAUAGGAAUUUCUCAGCUUUUCCGAAGAGGUUCCUAAAUGUGGCUGUAACCCUGACGUGAGGCUGAUGCAUUGGACCACACUUGAAUGCAAGCUGGUUGUUGUCUGUGAAGUCGCGACUGCAAACGAGAGCCUGUUGGAAAGGAUAUGUUUUUGAAAUGUGUACCUAAAAGAGAAUAAACAUGAUAGGGCCAAUA